ACGGUCCAAGUACUUAGGAGAGAUGCCUUGGUGCCUUCGGGACUCGUGAGACAGGUGCUGCAUGGCUGUCGUCAGCUCGUGUUGUGAAAUGUUGGGUUAAGUCCCGCAACGAGCGCAACCCUUAUCCUUUGUUGCCAGCGGUCCGGCCGGGAACUCAAAGGAGACUGCCAGUGAUAAACUGGAGGAAGGUGGGGAUGACGUCAAGUCAUCAUGGCCCUUACGACCAGGGCUACACACGUGCUACAAUGGCAUAUACAAAGAGAAGCGACCUCGCGAGAGCAAGCGGACCUCAUAAAGUGUGUCGUAGUCCGGAUUGGAGUCUGCAACUCGACUCCAUGAAGUCGGAAUCGCUAGUAAUCGUGGAUCAGAAUGCUACGGUGAAUACGUUCCCGGGUCUUGUACACACCGAAAC
rnacentral:rRNA from 1 species